AGAGUUUGAUCCUGGCUCAGAGCGAACGCUGGCGGCGUGGAUUAGGCAUGCAUGUCGAGCGAGAACGGGGAGCAAUCCCUUAGUAAAGCGGCACACGGGUCAGUAAUGCGUGGAUAACUUGCCCUUGAGACUGGGAUAACGGCGGGAAACUGCCGCUAAUACCGGAUGGCCUCGCGGACCGGCAUCGGACUGCGAGUAAAGGUGGGGACCGAAAGGCCUGCCGCUCGAGGAGAGGUUCACGACCUAUCAGCUAGUUGGCGAGGUAACGGCUCACCAAGGCGACGACGGGUAGGCGGGCUGAGAGGCUGACCGCCGACACUGGGACUGAGAACUGCCCAGACUCCUACGGGAGGCUGCAGUCGAGAAUCUUCCACAAUGGACGCAAGUCUGAUGGAGCGACGCCGCGUGUGGGAUGAAGGUCUUUGGAUUGUAAACCACUGUCACGCGUUAUGAAUGCGCGGCAGCUAACACCUGCCGCGUGACAAAGCGCGAGAGAAGCCACCU
rnacentral:rRNA from 1 species